rnacentral:rRNA from 1 species
GCAGUCGACGAAGUAGCAAUACUUAGUGGCAGACGGGUGAGUAACAUGUGGGUAUCUACCCUUUGGCCUGGAAUAACACGAGGAAACUUGUGCUAAUACCGGAUAAGUCUUUACGGAGAAAGCUUUAUGCACCAUUGGAUGAGCCCGCACUUGAUUAGUUUGUUGGUAGGGUAAUGGCCUACCAAGACUAUGAUCAAUAGCUGAUUUGAGAGGAUGAUCAGCCACAUUGGGACUGAGACACGGCCCAAACUCCUACGGGAGGCAGCAGUGGGGAAUCUUGCACAAUGGAGGAAACUCUGAUGCAGCGAUGCCGCGUGAGUGAAGAAGGCCUUUGGGUUGUAAAGCUCUUUCGUCGGGGAAGAAAAUGACUGUACCCGAAUAAGAAGGUCCGGCUAACUUCGUGCCAGCAGCCGCGGUAAUACGAAGGGACCUAGCGUAGUUCGGAAUUACUGGGCUUAAAGAGUUCGUAGGUGGUUGAAAAAGUUGGUGGUGAAAUCCCAGAGCUUAACUCUGGAACUGCCAUCAAAACUUUUCAGCUAGAGUAUGAUAGAGGAAAGCAGAAUUUC